rnacentral:rRNA from 1 species
CCUACGGGUGGCAGCAGUGGGGAAUCUUGCGCAAUGGGCGAAAGCCUGACGCAGCAACGCCGCGUGGGGGAUGAAGGCUCUCGGGUUGUAAACCCCUUUCAGCAGGGACGAAUCAAGACGGUACCUGCAGAAGAAGCCCCGGCUAACUACGUGCCAGCAGCCGCGGUAACACGUAGGGGGCAAGCGUUGUCCGGAUUUAUUGGGCGUAAAGAGCUCGUAGGCGGCUAAGUAAGUCGGGUGUUAAAUCCCCAGGCUCAACCUGGGACACCACCCGAUACUGCUUUGGCUAGAGUCCGGUAGGGGAGCGUGGAAUUCCUGGUGUAGCGGUGAAAUGCGCAGAUAUCAGGAGGAACACCAGCGGCGAAGGCGGCGCUCUGGGCCGGAACUGACGCUGAGGAGCGAAAGCGUGGGUAGCAAACAGGAUUAGAUACCCCUGUAGUC